GCGAGAGUGGCGGAACCGGUAGACGCGUCGGACUUAGGAUCCGGUGAGGGGAACCUCGUGGGGGUUCGAGUCCCCCCUCUCGCA
rnacentral:tRNA from 2 species